CGUGGCUUCCACGGGACUUAGUGCAGAAGCAGCCUGGACCAAGGCUUGGAGCUCAGCUGGUCCUGCGGGGCAUUUGCCAGGGGCCUGCCCUGGCGCCUACAGAUGGGGCAGAGGAUGAGCGGGGUGCCCGGAACCUGGUGAGCCAUGGCAGGCUGUAGCCACUGUGAAAAGCGGCCCAGGCUGCUGACUCUGGGCUGGGCGUUAUCUACACUGUGAGCAUCAGGGGCUUGUGCAGUCUUUCCACGGGCAACUCUGAAAAUAACAGUGUUUUUCUUUAUUCCCUUUAAUCCCCUUUUAAAAACUGUGUGGAGUGCUCGUGCUCACUUCGGCAGCACAUAUACUAAAAAUUGUGUGGAAAUGUAUACAGUGCAACCCUGAGCAUUUUAGCCACCUGUAAGUGUGCGAUUCAGUGAUCAGUAGACUCACAUGUAUGUGUAUCUUUCCCAUCCAUUUAGAAAAGAUCUGUAUUUAUGUCCAGACAGAGUUUGUCUUUCUAAAUACCAAGAAGAUUUUUAUCUUAAGGAAGCAGACUGCUCCCAGUGCGUGAGAUUUUAUGAAUUCUCACAGUUUACAAAUACAGGAGAGGAACCCACCGAGGGCAGGUGCUGGGGGUUGAGCGGCUGUGUGAGCCAGACCCGGAGCGCCUCUGCCCCGGCACGGUCUCUCCUCCCUGGCCCUCCGUUCUCCCCUGGUUUCCGCAGUCCUGGGAGCAGGACCAUGGGUGACUGCUGAGGCAGAGCCUCCAGGCCACGCCUGCAGGACUGAAGCUGCCCAGUGAACAACUGUGAUGAAUCUCUGCUCUUGUCUGCUGUAGGUGAUGGGGGGCCGAGGCAAAAUGAGAGCUGAAGCUGAAGGCUUUCUUUUCUUCACCACACAUCAUCGUUUUCAGCUUUGAGGCACGAGGUCUAUUUUAGAGAGCAAGUAACAUUUCACAAACUUUGCAGCCGCAAAGCAGAAACUCAACUGGUCACUUGCGCCGCUGGGCUCUGGGCUGGACACCAAGAGGCGCAGCAGGUUCUGCUUUCGGUCUUGGCAUGGCCUCUGGGCAAGUUGGUGGCUUCUCCGAAACUCAGACCCUUCCCUCAUUGGCACCUGGAAGGAGGGGACUUGACGCUGCCGUUGUGAUGCCAACUGCCACGAGGCCUCAUCAGAGGCUAAACCAGUGGGGCUGCCUCAUCUUAGACUUUCAGUCUCCAAGCACCUUCGCACGGAUGUUCCAGUGCUUCAGUGUGGAGUCCUUGGAAAGAUACGGACGUUGGUGAAGCACAUGGAAAAUCAUUCAGAAAGACCUGUGUUACAUCCCUGCUGUGCCAGAUUACCCCGAAAGAUCCUGAAUAGCCGAUGAUUUCUUGGAAACUUGGAAGGUGCCACCUUCUCUCAGGCCAUCUGCUAGUGUCCCUAACCUCAGGGGAUCGAACUCAGGACCUUGUGCUUGUGAGGCAGGUGCGGUGCCAGGGAGCUAAAUCCCCAGCCCCUGUAGCUCUUCUUUCAAAGGAGCCUUUUGGAGACUAUCAUUAUUCAGUGGUGCUGGGCAGGCACAGUUCAACAAAAGGAUAGAAAGCUUUGGAGACCACACACCGAUAUUUACCCGUCAAUGUAUUCUUCAGGCAUCAAAGACAAAACUGGACAGAAUCUUAAAGAGCAUCAAGACAUGAUAUGUAAGAGUACCAACUCCCUCUGAUUAAUGUAAUCACCGUGUUGCAAACAUGUACUAAUAAACAUUUUAAAAAUAGACAGAAUCAUCAGGAAAAGUUGACGAAUCCAUGUUUCCAGUGGGAGAAUCUCUCUUACAGACUGGCAGAUAAAAACAAUAAAAAACUGCUGACAACAGAAGACUUGAACUACACCAUUAAUAGAUCUAGAGAGGGAAUACUUUAUUCAACAAAGAAUAAACUUUUUAAGCAUACAUAGAACAUCUUUUAAAAAGCAAGUAUAGGGGCUGGGGAUUUAGCUCAGUGGUUCCGCCACCUGCAAAACGUGAGUACCAUCCAGGCUGAAAAUAGCACCAUGAAACGAGAAAACUAAAUGGUAGGAGAAAACCUCCACAGAUUUGGAAAUGUUAAGAUACUUCUAACUAAUUGGGAUCACAGAAGAAAUUACUGGGGAGCAGGGAUUGGAGGGGUGAGCGUAGAGACUGGGACAUGUCGGGGGCGAGCAGGACAGUGAAGGAGGCCUGAUGGUGGCUGGGGUUGGCAUGGCCGAGAAGGAAGGAGAAAAGUGGGCAGAUUUGUGACGGGUGGAAGCAGUCAAAGCACUGGAAAGACCAUGCAUCGUGCCUGCUUCCCUCCUUCCCUCUGGACUGAAACCAUCCUCCUCUGGCUCUCAGCAGCUGUGUGGUGCUCAGGGAGAUCUGGGCCUGUUGUCGGGCGGGGUGAGCCCCCUCUGGGGUCAAGAGAGUCCUCAACCUUGAGCAGGGCUGGACUUCCGCCUUCCUGCUGCCUGGUGCCCAGACCUCGGCCGCCUCUCUGAAGUUCUGAGGCUGAGAAGCAACUGUGUGUGGCCAAGGGUCACUACUCUACCCACGUCCGCGGUGUACUCUUGGAAACCGUGACGAGCCAGGCAUUUAAAGAAAAUCUUUCCCAGCUGAAACCACGUUAUGAUUAAGGAUUAGAUGCUGACCAAGGCUUUAGCAGCAAGUAACUCACAGACAUGACCCCGCCCCUCUGAAAUAUAACUUCUGAAAGACAACGUAAAAAGCAUAUUAAGAUGGUAGACCAUCGGUCCAGA
rnacentral:lncRNA from 1 species